rnacentral:rRNA from 1 species
UACGUAGGGUGCAAGCGUUGUCCGGAAUUAUUGGGCGUAAAGGGCUCGUAGGCGGUCUGUCGCGUCGGGAGUGAAAACUCAGGGCUUAACCCUGAGCCUGCUUCCGAUACGGGCAGACUAGAGGUAUGCAGGGGAGAACGGAAUUCCUGGUGUAGCGGUGGAAUGCGCAGAUAUCAGGAGGAACACCGGUGGCGAAGGCGGAUCUCUGGGCCUUACCUGACGCUCAGGCGCGAAAGCUAGGGGAGCGAACUGG